UAACGCGUAGGUAACCUGCCUUGUAGCGGGGGGGUAACUAUUGGAAACGAUAGCUAAUACCGCAUAACAAAUGGGUGGACUCAUGUCAUUUAUUUGAAAAGGGGCAAAAUGCUCCACUACAAGAUGGACCUGCGUUGUAUUAGCUAGUAGGUGAGGUAACGGCUCACCUAGGCGACGAUACAUAGCCGACCUGAGAGGGUGAUCGGCCACACUGGGACUGAGACACGGCCCAG
rnacentral:rRNA from 1 species